GACGAACGCUGGCGGCGUGCUUAACACAUGCAAGUCGAACGGAAAGGCCCUGCUUUUGUGGGGUGCUCGAGUGGCGAACGGGUGAGUAACACGUGAGUAACCUGCCCUUGACUUUGGGAUAACUUCAGGAAACUGGGGCUCAUACCGGAUAGGAGCUCCUGCUGCAUGGUGGGGGUUGGAAAGUUUCGGCGGUUGGGGAUGGACUCGCGGCUUAUCAGCUUGUUGGUGGGGUAGUGGCUUACCAAGGCUUUGACGGGUAGCCGGCCUGAGAGGGUGACCGGCCACAUUGGGACGGAGAUACGGCCCAGACUCCUACGGGAGGCAGCAGUGGGGAAUAUUGCACAAGGGGCGGAAGCCUGAUGCAGCAACGCCGCGUGCGGGAUGACGGCCUUCGGGUUGUAAACCGCUUUCGCCUGUGACGAAGCGUGAGUGACGGUAAUGGGUAAAGAAGCACCGGCUAACUACGUG
rnacentral:rRNA from 1 species